CAGUACAGUACACCUGCUGACAGAUAGUUCACUCUUUCGUUUCCAAGAUGCCACGUUGUGAGUUGCUGAUGAACAACUGGGGCAUCUGGAAGUCUGUUGGUAGUCUGUGACCUCUGACAGCUGCAGGUUCCUUUCAAGACUCUUCAUAUGGUAAACUGGCCCAAAGGAGCCUCCUUACCUGAACAAGCUGUCUCGACCUAAAUCAUUGGUCAGCCACACCCUGGCCCUAGGAUACAGAGGGCCAAAGAAGGCCAAGCCUGGCAGAUACUGAAAAUAUCCUGGAAAAUGGGAAGCUCUAGAAGUAUCUACAAAUAACCCCAGAGCAUCAUCUCUACCUUCUGUAGGCGUGUCUACAGAUUGGGUAUCUAGAAGGAUUGUACAAGAAAUGAAAGCAGCAGAAAUAAAAGUAGAAACUUAUAGUGAGGCCAUUCAUUUGCCUGUAAAUACAUUUAAUAG
rnacentral:lncRNA from 1 species